rnacentral:rRNA from 1 species
GAUGAACGCUGGCGGCGUGCCUAGUACAUGCAAGUCGAGCGAACGGACGAGAAGCUUGCUUCUCUGAUGUUAGCGGCGGACGGGUGAGUAACACGUGGAUAACCUACCUAUAAGACUGGGAUAACUUCGGGAAACCGGAGCUAAUACCGGAUGAUAUUUUGAACCGCAUGGUUCAAAAGUGAAAGACGGUCUUGCUGUCACUUAUAGAUGGAUCCGCGCUGCAUUAGCUAGUUGGUAAGGUAACGGCUUACCAAGGCAACGAUGCAUAGCCGACCUGAGAGGGUGAUCGGCCACACUGGAACUGAGACACGGUCCAGACUCCUACGGGAGGCAGCAGUAGGGAAUCUUCCGCAAAGGGCGAAAGCCUGACGGAGCAACGCCGCGUGAGUGAUGAAGGUCUUCGGAUCGUAAAACUCUGUUAUUAGGGAAGAACAUAUGUGUAAGUAACUGUGCACAUCUUGACGGUACCUAAUCAGAAAGCCACGGCUAACUACGUG